rnacentral:rRNA from 1 species
CCGAACUGAAUGAUUUCGGGCUUUAUUUGCGCAGAAUAGGUGGGAGGCUAUGAAACAAAUCUUGCGGGAUUUGUUGAGCCAUCGGUGAGAUACCACUCUAACAAAGCUAGAACUCUAAUCUUUCACUGUAAGCCAGUGAAGAAACAAUCUCAGGCGGGCAGUUUGACUGGGGCGGUCGCCUCCUAAAAGGUAACGGAGGCGCACAAAGGUUUCCUCAGAUCGGUCAGACAUCGAUCUUUGAGUGUAAAGGCAUAAGGAAGCUUGACUGUGAGACCUACAAGUCGAACAGAGACGAAAGUCGGUCUUAGUGAUCUGGCGAUAUUGAGUGGAAAAGUCGUCACUCCACGGAUAAAAGUUACUCUAGGGAUACCAGGCUGAA